rnacentral:rRNA from 1 species
UACAGAGGGGGCAAGCGUUGUUCGGAAUUACUGGGCGUAAAGCGCACGUAGGCGGAUACUUAAGUUAGGGGUGAAAUCCCAGAGCUCAACUCUGGAACUGCCUUUAAUACCGGGUAUCUCGAGUCCGGAAGAGGUGAGUGGAAUUCCGAGUGUAGAGGUGAAAUUCGUAGAUAUUCGGAGGAACACCAGUGGCGAAGGCGGCUCACUGGUCCGGUACUGACGCUGAGGUGCGAAAGCGUGGGGAGCGAACGGG